GAACCUUCAAGGGUGGACACAGAUAAAGAUGAUUGGACCCAGAGAGAGAGAAACAAGACCAGACUAGGAGAGAUUUGAGCUAGCAACAGUGCAUGCAGAGACAAUGAUACUUUAUUGAUUCAAGGAAUGCUCGGCACCCUGAAGGUCAAGAACAAUUGAGAUGAGGAUUUCUUAAUGUUUGGGUGUUUCCAUCUCUGUGGACUCUCUCAGUCCUGUCUGUUUGGGUGGGGGGCGGCACAGGGCAAUGUAGGGGUCCGAUAAAACAUCUCUUCAACUUUAGGAACAUCUUCAAGGGGGAGGACAAAUUCUCUGAAGGGUAAUACACGAGAGGAAUGGAAAAGUGUUUUGUUACCCUGCAGAGAACUGACACCAUGCUCCUCCUGUUUUUAGCUUUGGUAAAUUGUGCUGUAAAUCAAUACUAAGCUGUUGGUGAUCAGAGGAAGAAGGAUAAAGUCCCUUUGAGGAUGCUACUGUUUUUUAUGGAUUCCCCUCUUUUCUCCACUUACUUGUAAAAAUAGAUUAAACUCAUCAUUUCAAAUGGGUCCUCUCUCUUUAAUGCUAAGUUAUCGAGUUUAUUCAGUUGUGGCUGUUUAUUUGAAGCUUGCAAAUUUCACUCUAAAUGUGCAUUUAAUUAAGAACUCAAAGAAUGCUAAUUAAAACCCGCUUGAGUCAGAGGCUGAACUGGUUCCACAGUAGGUUCCAACCACAAACCUUUUCUCUUUCCAUUUCUUUUUUAGACAAAUCCCCUUUCUAGCUGCAGUAUGUGUUCAGUUGUGUUUCCUGCCAAAACCUCAUCAGGAAUGUCUGACUCCUUUAUCAGCCCUUUGUUUGUUUCGGCGCUGGAGGAUGCGGCACCCUAAUCCACAUCGCGAUGACUCAGCCCAGCUGGAUUACGGCAUUACCGUUUUACUCAGCCUUCCCUCUGUGACAAUACCGCCCACAUCACAAAGCGAAACCAGGCAAAUGGUGACAACAAGAGAAUGGGUUUAACAACGGGCCACGACACCCGCUGAACUCAGCCCACUGAACGCUGUGAGCAGCAGUUGUUUUUCUCCCACCUGCUCCUGGAUUCUCAGCAGCUCAGCUGGAACCUUCACGGUGGCUGCUGAAGGAGCCUGACUUUACCUUUUCCACCUGGUUUCGCGUCAUGGAAUUGAAAUACAUUGCUAAAUGUAAAAAAGUUGACUGUGUUGUGUCGAUAAAAUGCUUGAAAAGUUUGAAAAGCAAUUAAAUUUGAAUUAAUUAGCAGACAUUCAUUUUUAUUUUUAAAUGAUGUACUAAAAAUACAGUAUUUUAGACAGAUAUUAGUAAUGGUGUAUCUGUCUUUUUCACAAUUAACAGGUAGAAAUUAAAGAACUCCGUCUCAAAGUCCACCGUGAGCCUCUUGCAUGCUUAAAGCCCAUUAACACCCACUACCCUGAAGCACCUGGUACUGCGGUUAUCUUGCCACAUUAAGACUAAGCAUGUUUUAAAAAAGGCUGCUACAUCAUGAAUUACACGACAAGCUUGCUUUGACGAGAGACUAUAGAGAAAUUAAUUUUCCUGAGACACAACAUAAAGAGUGCAGAGGGUAAGCUUAAGGCUUAGUCAUUAUUUUAAUGGAAAACAAUUGUAAGUCCAUUUAAAUGUGCAGGCUGCUGUUAUAACCACGUUCUAUUUAUUAUAGUUCAGCUGUUUACUUUAAUAAAAGUGCCUACAUACUGUA